GAUGAACGCUGGCGGCGUGCCUAAUACAUGCAAGUCGAGCGAACGGACGAGAAGCUUGCUUCUCUGAUGUUAGCGGCGGGCGGGUGAGUAACACGUGGAUAACCUACCUAUAAGACUGGGAUAACUUCGGGAAACCGGAGCUAAUACCGGAUAAUAUUUUGAACCGCAUGGUUCAAAAGUGGAAGACGGUCUUGCUGUCACUUAUAGAUGGAUCCGCGCUGCAUUAGCUAGUUGGUAAGGUAACGGCUUACCAAGGCAACGAUGCAUAGCCGACCUGAGAGGGUGAUCGGCCACACUGGAACUGAGACACGGUCCAGACUCCUACGGGAGGCAGCAGUAGGGAAUCUUCCGCAAUGGGCGAAAGCCUGACGGAGCAACGCCGCGUGAGUGAUGAAGGUCUUCGGAUCGUAAAACUCUGUUAUUAGGGAAGAACAUAUGUGUAAGUAACUGUGCACAUCUUGACGGUACCUAAUCAGAAAGCCACGGCUAACUACGUGCCAGCAGCCGCGGUAAUACGUAGGUGGCAAGCGUUAUCCGGAAUUAUUGGGCGUAAAGCGCGCGUAGGCGGUUUUUUAAGUCUGAUGUGAAAGCCCACGGCUCAACCGUGGAGGGUCAUUGGAAACUGGAAAACUUGAGUGCAGAAGAGGAAAGUGGAAUUCCAUGUGUAGCGGUGAAAUGCGCAGAGAUAUGGAGGAACACCAGUGGCGAAGGCGACUUUCUGGUCUGUAACUGGCGCUGAUGUGCGAAAGCGUGGGGAUCAAACAGGAUUAGAUACCCUGGUAGUCCACGCCGUAAACGAUGAGUGCUAAGUGUUAGGGGGUUUCCGCCCCUUAGUGCUGCAGCUAACGCAUUAAGCACUCCGCCUGGGGAGUACGACCGCAAGGUUGAAACUCAAAGGAAUUGACGGGGACCCGCACAAGCGGUGGAGCAUGUGGUUUAAUUCGAAGCAACGCGAAGAACCUUACCAAAUCUUGACAUCCUUUGACAACUCUAGAGAUAGAGCCUUCCCCUUCGGGGGACAAAGUGACAGGUGGUGCAUGGUUGUCGUCAGCUCGUGUCGUGAGAUGUUGGGUUAAGUCCCGCAACGAGCGCAACCCUUAAGCUUAGUUGCCAUCAUUAAGUUGGGCACUCUAAGUUGACUGCCGGUGACAAACCGGAGGAAGGUGGGGAUGACGUCAAAUCAUCAUGCCCCUUAUGAUUUGGGCUACACACGUGCUACAAUGGACAAUACGAAGGGCAGCGAAACCGCGAGGUCAAGCAAAUCCCAUAAAGUUGUUCUCAGUUCGGAUUGUAGUCUGCAACUCGACUACAUGAAGCUGGAAUCGCUAGUAAUCGUAGAUCAGCAUGCUACGGUGAAUACGUUCUCGGGUCU
rnacentral:rRNA from 1 species